rnacentral:lncRNA from 1 species
GGCCAGUGAAAAAACCAGUGAAGUCUGAAAGAGGAGAUGUUGUAGCUCAUGAAAAACUGGGAGUGAAGGGGAUGGCCUGUGGAACACCUGAAAUUAAGGGUGGGAGACUGGAACCAGUCUCAGAAUCAACCUGUGCAAGCCUUGGAAAGGUUGGAAACGAAGGAGUGUCGUGGAGUGGUGCCUUUGAUGAGGAGGCAUCUGCAAAGUCUUUUCAGGAAGCUUUGCUUCUGGGGUCCCAUCAGAACCUGUGGGGAUUUGUGAGGUGCAGACCAAUGUUACUGCUCUGAAGGAACCCAUCCAUGUGGAAUUCCAGAAGGAUGGCCUGAGCUACAUGGAGAAACUCCUGCUGAAGAAAUACAGGAGGACACCUGUUGAUCAAUUUUUUGCAAGUUGCAUGAAAGAUUCAAGGCCUGUGCAAUCCCCGAGUGUUCAUCAGGCUGGAGAAGGGGGACAAGGAGAUGAUGAUGAUGAUGACAUUGAAGAGUUAACAGAUGAAGAGGUGAAGAAAUACUGGGCAUCUGUUUAUAGAGGUGAAGAAUCCAACACUGUUUCUGCAAAUGCUGAGACAUCUUUGAAAAUUGAGUUCCUUGAUGAUUCUCAUAGCAAAGACUUGGAAGAAUCUUCAGACCCUCCAGUGGUUCUAACUGGAGCUGUGGGGAUGAGUAAGCAAGGAAAAACUGACCCACUGGAGUGUGAAAGGUAUCAGAAAUGCAGAGAUUGUCAGGGAGGAAAGGAAAUAAUCCCAAAUUUAGGGUUAGUUCCUAAGAAGUAA